GGGAGCUCGACGUGGUGCAGCAGGCGGUGGCAGAGCUGAACGACCCCAGCCAGCCCAACGACGAGGGCAUCACGGCCCUGCACAAUGCCAUCUGCGGGGCCAACUACGCCAUCGUGGACUUCCUGAUCGCCAGCGGGGCCGACGUCAACUCCCCCGACAGCCACGGAUGGACCCCCCUGCACUGCGCGGCCUCGUGCAACGACACGGGCGUGUGCGUGGCCCUGGUGCGCCACGGGGCCGCCAUCUUCGCCAGCACCGGCUCCGACGGCUCCCUGGCCGUG